rnacentral:rRNA from 1 species
GACGAACGCUGGCGGCGUGCUUAACACAUGCAAGUCGAACGGUAAGGCCCUUCGGGGUACACGAGUGGCGAACGGGUGAGUAACACGUGGGUGAUCUGCCCUGCACUUCGGGAUAAGCCUGGGAAACUGGGUCUAAUACCGGAUAGGACCACUGCCUGCAUGGGUGGUGGUGGAAAGCUUUUGCGGUGUGGGAUGGGCCCGCGGCCUAUCAGCUUGUUGGUGGGGUGACGGCCUACCAAGGCGACGACGGGUAGCCGGCCUGAGAGGGUGACCGGCCACACUGGGACUGAGAGACGGCCCAGACUCCUACGGGAGGCAGCAGUGGGGAAUAUUGCACAAUGGGCGCAAGCCUGAUGCAGCGACGCCGCGUGAGGGAUGACGGCCUUCGGGUUGUAAACCUCUUUCAGCACCGACGAAGCGCAAGUGACGGUAGGUGCAGAAGAAGGACCGGCCGACUACGUGCCAGCCGCCGCGGUAAUAC